rnacentral:rRNA from 1 species
UACAGAGGGUGCGAGCGUUAAUCGGAGUUACUGGGCGUAAAGGGCGCGUAGGCGGAUUAAUAAGAUUGAUGUGAAAUCCCUGGGCUUAACCUGGGAACUGCCUUUGUGACUGCAAGGCUUGAGUGCGGCAGAGGGGGAUGGAAUUCCGCGUGUAGCAGUGAAAUGCGUAGAUAUGCGGAGGAACACCGAUGGCGAAGGCAAUCCCCUGGGCCUGCACUGACGCUCAUGCACGAAAGCGUGGGGAGCAAACAGG